AACGCGAAGAACCUUACCUGGUCUUGACAUCCCAGGAACCCUUCAGAGAUGAGGGGGUGCCUUCGGGAACCUGGAGACAGGUGCUGCAUGGCUGUCGUCAGCUCGUGUCGUGAGAUGUUGGGUUAAGUCCCGCAACGAGCGCAACCCUUAUUGCCAGUUGCCACCGGGUUAUGCCGAGCACUCUGGCGAAACCGCGCGGGAUAACCGCGAGGAAGGUGGGGAUGACGUCAAGUCCUCAUGGCCUUUAUGUCCAGGGCUACACACGUGCUACAAUGGUCGGUACAAACCGUCGCAAACCCGCGAGGGGGAGCUAAUCGGAAAAAGCCGGCCUCAGUUCGGAUUGGAGUCUGCAACCCGACUCCAUGAAGCUGGAAUCGCUAGUAAUCGCGGAUCAGAACGCCGCGGUGAAUACGUUCCCGGGCCUUGUACACACCGGCUAC
rnacentral:rRNA from 1 species